rnacentral:rRNA from 1 species
CUGCGGCAGCGACACUAUGUGUUGUUGGGUAGGGGAGCGUUCUGUAAGCCUGUGAAGGUGGCCUGUGAGGGUUGCUGGAGGUAUCAGAAGUGCGAAUGCUGACAUAAGUAACGAUAAAGCGGGUGAAAAGCCCGCUCGCCGGAAGACCAAGGGUUCCUGUCCAACGUUAAUCGGGGCAGGGUGAGUCGACCCCUAAGGCGAGGCCGAAAGGCGUAGUCGAUGGGAAACGGGUUAAUAUUCCCGUACUUGGUGUUACUGCGAAGGGGGGACGGAGAAGGCUAUGUUGGCCGGGCGACGGUUGUCCCGGUUUAAGCGUGUAGGUGUGUGUUCCAGGUAAAUCCGGUUCACUUUAACACUGAGGCGUGAUGACGAGGCACUACGGUGCUGAAGCAACAAAUGCCCUGCUUCCAGGAAAAGCCUCUAAGCAUCAGGUAACAUCAAAUCGUACCCCAAACCGACACAGGUGGUCAGGUAGAGAAUACCAAGGCGCUUGAGAGAACUCGGGUGAAGGAACUAGGCAAAAUGGUGCCGUAACUUCGGGAGAAGGCACGCUGACAUGUAGGUGAAGUGAUUUACUCAUGGAGCUGAAGUCAGUCGAAGAUACCAGCUGGCUGCAACUGUUUAUUAAAAACACAGCACUGUGCAAACACGAAAGUGGACGUAUACGGUGUGACGCCUGCCCGGUGCCGGAAGGUUAAUUGAUGGGGUCAGCGCAAGCGAAGCUCCUGAUCGAAGCCCCGGUAAACGGCGGCCGUAACUAUAACGGUCCUAAGGUAGCGAAAUUCCUUGUCGGGUAAGUUCCGACCUGCACGAAUGGCGUAAUGAUGGCCAGGCUGUCUCCACCCGAGACUCAGUGAAAUUGAACUCGCUGUGAAGAUGCAGUGUACCCGCGGCAAGACGGAAAGACCCCGUGAACCUUUACUAUAGCUUGACACUGAACAUUGAGCCUUGAUGUGUAGGAUAGGUGGGAGGCUUUGAAGUGUGGACGCCAGUCUGCAUGGAGCCGACCUUGAAAUACCACCCUUUAAUGUUUGAUGUUCUAACGUGGACCCGUAAUCCGGGUUGCGGACAGUGUCUGGUGGGUAGUUUGACUGGGGCGGUCUCCUCCUAAAGAGUAACGGAGGAGCACGAAGGUUGGCUAAUCCUGGUCGGACAUCAGGAGGUUAGUGCAAUGGCAUAAGCCAGCUUGACUGCGAGCGUGACGGCGCGAGCAGGUGCGAAAGCAGGUCAUAGUGAUCCGGUGGUUCUGAAUGGAAGGGCCAUCGCUCAACGGAUAAAAGGUACUCCGGGGAUAACAGGCUGAUACCGCCCAAGAGUUCAUAUCGACGGCGGUGUUUGGCACCUCGAUGUCGGCUCAUCACAUCCUGGGGCUGAAGUAGGUCCCAAGGGUAUGGCUGUUCGCCAUUUAAAGUGGUACGCGAGCUGGGUUUAGAACGUCGUGAGACAGUUCGGUCCCUAUCUGCCGUGGGCGCUGGAGAACUGAGGGGGGCUGCUCCUAGUACGAGAGGACCGGAGUGGACGCAUCACUGGUGUUCGGGUUGUCAUGCCAAUGGCACUGCCCGGUAGCUAAAUGCGGAAGAGAUAAGUGCUGAAAGCAUCUAAGCACGAAACUUGCCCCGA